GAGAAUCAGUGAAAAUUGGGUUGGCGAAACAGAAAGGAACCGAGAGUUGGCGAAACAAAGAGGAAACCGUGAAGAAUUGGCGAAACAGAGAGAAACCGUGAAGGAUUCCGGCAGACGCGUUCGAGAUUCCGGCGGAGGCGACGAGAUUCCGGCGGAGGCGACGAGAUCGUUGGUCGAAGAUGAGAGAAGACGAGAAUUUUGGGUGCGACGGAGGCGUUUAGGGUUAGUCUCUCAAAUUUUCUAUUUCCUGUU
rnacentral:lncRNA from 1 species